UCUGCUGAUUCCUUACGAAGCCUCCAUAGUUCCAGUUGGGGCUCGUGGGUUAACAACAGAGU
rnacentral:pre_miRNA from 2 species